rnacentral:lncRNA from 1 species
CCCAUGGCAUAUGGGGUUCCCAGGCCAGGAAUCAGAUCUUAGCCAGUCAUGAGCUAAACCAUAGCUGUGGCAACACAGGAUCCUUAACUCACUGUGCCAGGUCGGGUCCCAGUGUUCUCAAGAUCCUGCCAAUCCCAUUAUAAGACAGAGGAGAUGUCCCAGAAAGUAGAGCAAAAUGAAAAAGUAAUGAAAUUAGGGGGAAAAAAAAUGUAAGGAAAUUAAAUGGCUGGGCCAAAAUCCCAGCAACAGAAAUUCUAGAAAGAGAAAAAAGAAAAAAGUAGUAGAUAGAGGUAAAGUGUCAAACUACAUGUCUAUAAGUUCUACAAAAACUUACCAGAACACAGAGACUCAAAAUAGAUUCCCAUUGUGAAACUGCAGAAUGCUGGGGAUAAAGAAAAGAUUUUAUAAGCUUCUAAAGUGUAAGAGAGGAAAAAAACAGUUUUCACACAGAAUCAGGAAUCAGAAUAGUACUGAACUUUUCAGUUGUAAUAACAAAAACCAGACAGCAAAGAAUCAAUGCCUUAAAAAUUCUGAGAAAAUAAUUCCUAAAUUAGAAUUAUAUUAAUUGUGAGAGUAAAAUAUCUCUUUGUGUCCCUUUUCUUAGGAAGGUAUUGAAGAAUGUGCUCUACCAAAAUGAAAGAAUAAACCAAAAAGGAAGAAGAUGUGGGAUCAAGGAAAAGAAGAUGAAAAAUGGUAAGAAGCAAAUAGAUUACCCAGAUGAUGAUAAAGGGAAAUCUUUUGACAGCAGCUAUGCAGCAGAGAUAAAAUAAAAAAGGGAAGAAAGAGCAGGAUAGAGAGGCUUAAAUUGCAAAACAAAAUAUUACUUUGGGAGAUUGGUUCUUAUACAUAUGAAGAAUCAGGCUCAGUUAAUCAAUCCAUCGAGAAGGUUUAUUCUUAUUUACAUUUCAAGUGAUAAUAAAUACUGUAAUUAAGGAGAUGCCAGUCAGACACUGAAAGAAUAAAUUAUGAAUUAAUGUUAUAGGUGUAUUUUAAACUGUUACCAGGUUUCUAAAUGCCUAUUUAAGAGAAAUUUGGACCUACACGCUGAGAUAUGAAUGCAGAAUCACUAACCCAAGGACCAUAAUGGGGUAAGUUGCCAAACCUGACAACUCCUGCCAACUACAGUGUCCCCUUCCAAGUAAAAGGCAUGAAAUGGCUUUCUUUUCCUGCAAUAGUUGCAACAAAUUCCUGUUUGAAUGAAAUCGGUUCCUCUUUUGCCUCCCUACAAUCCAUUCUUCUACACAAAAGCCAGAUUACUUAUUUAAUUUGUAUAUUCAUUUAAAUAUUUCUAUACCAAGAGCUAUAUUAACAAUUAUACGUUAGUUAUAAAGCAAUCCAAGACCAGAACAUUACCAGUAAUUUGCAUUUACCUCCACCAUUGCAUCCACCUGCCUCUUACCUGAGGAAAUACUCUUACUGCUGUAUUUAUCAUCUCCUUGCCUUUUUUCUUUUUCUUUUUCUUUUUUUGGCAGCCCCAUGUCACAUGGAGUUCCCGAGCCAGAGAUCAGAUCUGAGCCACAGUUGCAACCUACGACACAGCUACAGCAAUGAUGGAUCCUUUAACCCACUGCACUGGGCCAGGGGUCAAACCUGCAUCUGUUGCUACAGAACCACUGAUCCCGUUGCACCACAGGAGGAACUCUUCCUUUCCUUUUUUGGCAUAGUUUUAUCACAUUAUGCCUGAACAAAAUAUUACCUAGUUUUGCUUGUUUAUUAACUUUAUCAGUGAUGUACAUAACUAUAGUUUAUUCAUUUUCCCAAGUGUAUAAUGUUGCAAUAUGUGACUAUGCACAAUUUAUCCUGUCAAUGGACAUUUAGAUGAUUUCCAGGUGGAUUUUUGUUUUGUUUUGUUUUUUGCUAUUGUAAACACUGCUAAUCUCAAAAUUCUAAUUCAUAGCUCCUUGUACAAGAGUUUCUCUACCUAGGAAUACAAUUGCUGGAUUGUAUAGUAUAAAGUUUAAAGCUCAAUUUUCAAAAUAUUACCAAACUGUUUUCAAAAUCUGUUAUACCAGUUAACUUUCCCACUAGCAAAACGUAACAGUUUCUUGUAUAAUAAUCAUCUCCUGCAAAACUGUGUUAAAUGGCACUAUUAUAAGUCUAGCAGGUGAACACAGUAUCUCACUGGGGUCUUAAUUUGCAUUUCCUUGAUUGUAAUGAGGUGGUACAAUGUUGACAAGCAGUUUGACAGUUUCUUAUAAAAUUAAAAUACACUAAACCAUAUGAUUCAGCAAUUUCACUUUUAAGUAUGCUCAAGAAAAAUGAAAACAUGUUUACAAAAAGACUUGUUUGCUCAUAGCAAUUUUAUUCAUAAUAAUCAGAAAGCCAGAAACAACUCAAAUGUCCAUCAAUAGGUAAAUAAAUACACUGAUAUAGUUCAACCAUUACAUAUUACAUAACAAUAAAAAUAAAUGAAUUUCCUAGUGCCUGAAACAACAUAGAUGAACUGCACAUACAAAUAUGCUGAGUGAAAGGAAACAUACAAAAGAGUAUAUUAGUAUGAUUCCAGUGAUACAAAGUUCUGAAGCAGGUACAACUAAUCUAUGAUAGAAUUCAGACCAGUUGUUGCUAAAACAGAAGAGAGACUGACUGCAAAGGGGCAAGAAGACACUUUCUGGAGUAAUGGAAUGUAUGAUAUCUUGAUUAGGGUAUAGUUACAUAAGUGUACAUAAUUGUCAAAACUCAUCUGUGAAUUUUACUACAUGUAAAAUUACUUUGGACUUACCAAAAACAAAACAAAACAUAAAUCAAUCAUGUCAUUCCCCACUUCAAAACCCAACAUGGCCCAACCACCCUUAGAAUAAAACCCAAACUCCUUUUCAUGAUCCACAAGGCAAUGAAUGAAUUAGCCUGUAC